GCAAAACUGCUCUGCUGUUUGGUUUCGGCGGCAACUGAUGAGUGAUAACUGCAAUAGAUCUAAGACAUCCAGAAAACCACCGCAGCAUCAUAAAGCCAUUGUUAAAGAAGUGAGAGAGCACGAACAACCCCUUCCACCCACCGCUGCUUGCGAUGAAACGUCAAAGUUUCUUGGAUGAAAGAUGACUGCGCUGACACAAGUGUUGAUGCCCGGUUCACCCGUACCACAAACCGCCACGUGCAGCAUCUACACCGGCGUGAGACCAGGUGGAGAAAGUUCGCCACUUCCAAUCAGGCGGCCACCGCAGGCUUUGUGUUUGAGUUUUUCUGGAGGUUGGUUGCAGAUGGUGGGAGCAGUCCGGAGAUCAAAUGGCAGAGAUGAGAAUAGAAUGAAUGGGGAGCUGAGGAGACGAGUUCAAUUAUUGAUGUGUAUCAUAGUGCAGAUGAACACACAACACAGCGAGCCAUCGCCCCGACGCUUCACCCCCGACAACACAACCUCCCCCCAAACAAGUUCUCUGCUACAAGUAUAAUGCAUUUGUGAGAUUCUCAAACUUGCAUCAGCAUGAAACAUAUCACGGUUUUUACAACUGAGCUCAGUUUUGAUUCAUUUUAUUUCCUUCUGUUUUCAUUCCGUUUGUUUUUGGAUUCAAUAUUGGGGCUUUUUUUUGUUAUGGUUUGAUGACAUUUAAAGCACUUGCAGUUUUCUUAAAUUUUCCAAAAUAGUGAGAGACAAGUAGCUCAUGAGUUUGGUCAAGCUUUGAAAAGUCUUGUGUCAAAGUACCGCUUUAAAUCUGAUUUAAUGUUCAUCGAACAUUACAGCAGUAACACCAUUAACAACAGCAUUGUUUUCUACACUUUCACCUUUUAAUGUGUUUACACUAUUUCUGUUCAAGUUUUUCAUGUUAUAUGUUCAUGUUUGAAAUAAAAUCAAUAUACGGGGAAGUUGUUACUGCCCAAACAGAUAUGUUUAUUUUUUAAAUGAAAGCCUCUCCACAAACAUGUUGGGAAGCUUGUGAAACUACAUGUAGUUCAGUUUGAACAAAGUGCAUUUAUGCCACUGGGGAAGUAUUGUUUGUGAUACUGCACAUAAAAAGUAGCUACCUAUUUUACAUUUUCCAAUAAAAUACAAUAUAUUAACUUACAAAAAACGCACAUGUAGCUGUCUGUCAUGUCUGUAGAUGCUUCUAUAUCCUGUAUAUA